GAAAAAGGAAGCAGUCAAAGUUAGCUCAACUUUGAGGUGAUCAUAAGGACGUUGAUCGAAAGUGUCUUGCUAUUUAAACCGGACUUGAGGUAAAGGUAAAGAUAUAAAGUAGAAGUGGGACCGAGCUGAAGCAGCACCUCGCCUGGAUGAUGUACAUAUGGUUACUUUGACCUGGGGAUGGCCUAUCUAUAUGUUUUGUUAUAUGUUAUCUAGUAAUGACACGUUUUAUAGUAUGUUUUAAGUAUGGUUUGUAUUAAAGAAUGAAAGUAGACUUUAUAUGUGUGUAAUAUGGUUUUGUUGGAGGAAAAAAAAUGCUACUACUUUUAUGAUGAAUUCGCAAUAUUAUUGUAGUAA